rnacentral:rRNA from 1 species
CACCGCGGUUAUACGAGGAACCCUAGUUGUUAGAACACGGCGUAAAGCGUGGUUAAGAUGCCCAACGAACUAAAGCCGAACACUUACAAAGCUGUCAUACGCAUCCGAAAGUGAGAAGCCCAUCAACGAAAGUGGCUUUAUACCAUUUGAACCCACGUAAGCUAAGACA